GUAUGGAGCAAGCGUUAUCCGGAUUUACUGGGUGUAAAGGGUGCGUAGGUGGCAGUGCAAGUCAGAUGUGAAAGGCCGGGGCUCAACCCCGGGACUGCAUUUGAAACUGCUGAGCUAGAGUGUCGGAGAGGCAAGUGGAAUUCCUAGUGUAGCGGUGAAAUGCGUAGAUAUUNGGAGGAACACCAGUGGCGAAGGCGGCUUGCUGGACGAUGACUGACGUUGAGGCUCGAAAGCGUGGGGAGCAAACAGGAUUAGAUACCCUGGUAGUCCACGCCGAAAACGAUGACUGCUNGGUGUCGGGUNGCNAANGCUAUUCGGUGCUGCNGCUAACGCNAUANGCAGUCCACCUGGGGAGU
rnacentral:rRNA from 1 species